GACGAACGCUGGCGGCGUGCUUAACACAUGCAAGUCGAACGGAAAGGCCCUGCUUUUGUGGGGUGCUCGAGUGGCGAACGGGUGAGUAACACGUGAGUAACCUGCCCUUGACUUUGGGAUAACUUCAGGAAACUGGGGCUAAUACCGGAGAGGAGCUCCUGCUGCACGGUGGGGGUUGGAAAGUUUCGGCGGUUGGGGAUGGACUCGCGGCUUAUCAGCUUGUUGGUGGGGUAGUGGCUUACCAAGGCUUUGACGGGUAGCCGGCCUGAGAGGGUGACCGGCCACAUUGGGACUGAGAUACGCACCAGACUCCUACGGGAGGCAGCAGUGGGGAAUAUUGCACAGUGGGCGGAAGCGUGAUGCAGCAACGCCGCGUGCGGGAUGACGGCCUUCGGGUUGUAAACCGCUUUCGCCUGUGACGAAGCGUGAGUGACGGUAAUGGGUAAAGAAGCACCGGCUAACUACGUG
rnacentral:rRNA from 1 species